CGAGUAAGUCAGACAAUCGCUGCCCGGUAAUGCCGGGGAGAGGAAAGUCCGAGCUCCAUAGGGCAGGGUGCUGGGUAACUCCCAGUGGAGGCGACUCUAAGGAAAGUGCAACAGAGAUAUACCGCCUGAGCAGUUACUGUUCAGGUAAGGGUGGAAAGGCGAGGUAAGAGCUCACCAGCGCAUUGGCGACUUUGCGGCUAUGUAAACCCCAUCUGGAGCAAGAUCGAAUAGGGAGACAUAUGGGAUAGCCCGUCCCGUCUCCGGGUGUAUCGCUUGAGCCCGUCUGGUAACAGCGGGCCUAGAUAGAUGAUUGUCAAAUACAGAACUCGGCUUACAGAUUUGCUCGUGCC
rnacentral:RNase_P_RNA from 1 species